GACGAACGCUGGCGGCGUGCUUAACACAUGCAAGUCGAACGGAAAGGCCCUGCUUUUGUGGGGUGCUCGAGUGGCGAACGGGUGAGUAACAAGUGAGUAACCUGCCCUUGACUUUGGGAUAACUUCAGGAAACUGGGGCUAAUACCGGAUAGGAGCUCCUGCUGCAUGGUGGGGGUUGGAAAGUUUCGGCGGUUGGGGAUGGACUCGCGGCUUAUCAGCUUGUUGGUGGGGUAGUGGCUUACCAAGGCUUUGACGGGUAGCCGGCCUGAGAGGGUGACCGGCCACAUUGGGACUGAGAUACGGCCCAGACUCCUACGGGAGGCAGCAGUGGGGAAUAUUGCACAAUGGGCGGAAGCCUGAUGCAGCAACGCCGCGUGCGGGAUGACGGCCUUCGGGUUGUAAACCGCUUUCGCCUGUGACGAAGCGUGAGUGGCGGUAAUGGGUAAAGAAGCACCGGCUAACUACGUG
rnacentral:rRNA from 1 species